rnacentral:lncRNA from 13 species
CACAUGAGAUCACAAUUUAUUUCCACAGUUUUCAUGUUACGUUAGUAUCCUUAUUGCCUUAAGACUCUUAAAAUUAACACUUAAAAAGAUACACAUUUCUCAUAUCUAAAGAAAGUCUGUUAUUUCUUUGUUUGCACCCUAAGACUGUAGGAAGCUUUCUGUGAUACAAAAGAAUUAAAGAGAGAAAGAAGUGGAUCAGGUCAGAGCAAAAACAAUGGUAAAAUAAAAAUAAUAAGUUGUCACUGGGGUAAGAAUAGCAUGCACAAUGCAUUUUUUUAUGUCCUGAAAAACUGAGCUGUACAUUUGUUUCAUAGCUCCCCAGCUUCCACAGCAAAAAUGGAGAACUGAUAAUUAUCACUGUAUUUAUUCUUUAUGGUUACUCGGGGGAACAUUUUAAAAGGGGACAUUAAUGGAAUAAGAUUACCUUUCCGUCACUCACAUCUGACUACUCAUAGACUUUUCUAUUUGAAGACGGAUUAAGGAAAAUUUUCCUGCAAACAAAUGUGGUCAAAUGAAUUGAUGAACAUGCAUACCUGCCAGGUACCCAGCAUCCUCAAGUGCCUAUAUGACAUUAACUCCAGUAGCCUGUGUGACCAUGUAGAAUAAAAAUAAAGUUACUGGGAGUUCAGGGUUGAUAAUAGCUCUGCUUUGUAUAUUUCUGCAGAAGUCAGAGUCUUUCAAAAUAUGGGAACAGUGAGUUAAAAUAAACUGUCUUAUUGGCAGAACAGAGUGUGAUCAUGAGAUACCAUUCAGCUUUUAUGCUGAUUCAUCAGCUCACAGUGAAACAAGCUUGCAAGAGAGCAUCCCAGGACCACUCAACAUUCAGAGGUAAUAGAGGACUUGAAGGCAUCACACAGAAGGUACAACUUCAAAUCCUGUUCUAAGGCUUGGGAGCAGAUCUAUGGACCCCACUCCUGAGUCAAUUUGCCGUAAAACAUGUGGUAUUUAAAAACUUUUACUAAAAUCUUGUUCCUGUGAUUUGUGGUUAAUGUUCAGGCUAAUUUGGGCAUUGGGACCAGCCAGUUGAUCCCAUUGGUGAACAGAGAAACACAGUUCAAGGCACAGCCUCAAGUCCAGACAAGUGUAGCACCCUAGAAACCCCAGAUCCUGGUGGGCACUGGUGCUUCCCAGUCAAGGGUCCAGAUGCUAAUUUUUGCAUGGCUACACUGUUGAGAAUUUUUCUGUCUGGGAUGCCUUCCCCCUCCUCCUCAAAGCUCAUUUUUCAUCACACAUCAUUUCUGAG